rnacentral:rRNA from 1 species
GCGAGGUGAUAUGAACCUUUGACCCGGCGAUGUCCGAAUGGGGAAACCCAGUGUGAUUCGUCACACUAUCGUUAACUGAAUACAUAGGUUAACGAGGCGAACCGGGGGAACUGAAACAUCUAAGUACCCCGAGGAAAAGAAAUCAACCGAGAUUCCCCCAGUAGCGGCGAGCGAACGGGGAGCAGCCCAGAGUCUGAAUCAGCUUGUGUGUUAGUGGAAGCGUCUGGAAAGUCGCACGGUACAGGGUGACAGUCCCGUACACGAAAGCACACAGGCUGUGAACUCGAAGAGUAGGGCGGGACACGUGGUAUCCUGUCUGAAUAUGGGGGGACCAUCCUCCAAGGCUAAAUACUCCUGACUGACCGAUAGUGAACCAGUACCGUGAGGGAAAGGCGAAAAGAACCCCGGCGAGGGGAGUGAAAAAGAACCUGAAACCGUGUACGUACAAGCAGUGGGAGCACCCUUGUGGUGUGACUGCGUACCUUUUGUAUAAUGGGUCAGCGACUUAUAUUCUGUAGCAAGGUUAACCGUAUAGGGGAGCCGAAGGGAAACCGAGUCUUAACUGGGCGUUAAGUUGCAGGGUAUAGACCCGAAACCCGGUGAUCUAGCCAUGGGCAGGUUGAAGGUUGGGUAACACUAACUGGAGGACCGAACCGACUAAUGUUGAAAAAUUAGCGGAUGACUUGUGGCUGGGGGUGAAAGGCCAAUCAAACCGGGAGAUAGCUGGUUCUCCCCGAAAGCUAUUUAGGUAGCGCCUCGUGAACUCAUCUUCGGGGGUAGAGCACUGUUUCGGCUAGGGGGCCAUCCCGGCUUACCAACCCGAUGCAAACUACGAAUACCGAAGAAUGUUAUCACGGGAGACACACGGCGGGUGCUAACGUCCGUCGUGAAGAGGGAAACAACCCAGACCGCCAGCUAAGGUCCCAAAGUCAUGGUUAAGUGGGAAACGAUGUGGGAAGGCACAGACAGCCAGGAUGUUGGCUUAGAAGCAGCCAUCAUUUAAAGAAAGCGUAAUAGCUCACUGGUCGAGUCGGCCUGCGCGGAAGAUGUAACGGGGCUAAACCAUGCACCGAAGCUGCGGCAGCGACGCUUAUGCGUUGUUGGGUAGGGGAGCGUUCUGUAAGCCGUUGAAGGUGUGCUGUGAGGCAUGCUGGAGGUAUCAGAAGUGCGAAUGCUGACAUAAGUAACGAUAAAGCGGGUGAAAAGCCCGCUCGCCGGAAGACCAAGGGUUCCUGUCCAACGUUAAUCGGGGCAGGGUGAGUCGACCCCUAAGGCGAGGCCGAAAGGCGUAGUCGAUGGGAAACAGGUUAAUAUUCCUGUACUUGGUGUUACUGCGAAGGGGGGACGGAGAAGGCUAUGUUAGCCGGGCGACGGUUGUCCCGGUUUAAGCAUGUAGGCGGAGGUUCCAGGUAAAUCCGGUACCUUUUAACGCUGAGGUGUGAUGACGAGGCACUACGGUGCUGAAGUAACAAAUGCCCUGCUUCCAGGAAAAGCCUCUAAGCAUCAGGUAACACGAAAUCGUACCCCAAACCGACACAGGUGGUCAGGUAGAGAAUACCAAGGCGCUUGAGAGAACUCGGGUGAAGGAACUAGGCAAAAUGGUGCCGUAACUUCGGGAGAAGGCACGCUGAUAUGUAGGUGAAGCCCCUGCGGGUGGAGCUGAAAUCAGUCGAAGAUACCAGCUGGCUGCAACUGUUUAUUAAAAACACAGCACUGUGCAAACACGAAAGUGGACGUAUACGGUGUGACGCCUGCCCGGUGCCGGAAGGUUAAUUGAUGGGGUUAGCGGCAACGCGAAGCUCUUGAUCGAAGCCCCGGUAAACGGCGGCCGUAACUAUAACGGUCCUAAGGUAGCGAAAUUCCUUGUCGGGUAAGUUCCGACCUGCACGAAUGGCGUAAUGAUGGCCAGGCUGUCUCCACCCGAGACUCAGUGAAAUUGAACUCGCUGUGAAGAUGCAGUGUACCCGCGGCAAGACGGAAAGACCCCGUGAACCUUUACUAUAGCUUGACACUGAACACUGGUCCUUGAUGUGUAGGAUAGGUGGGAGGCUUUGAAGCGUGGACGCCAGUCUGCGUGGAGCCGACCUUGAAAUACCACCCUUUAAUGGCUGGUGUUCUAACGUAGACCCGUAAUCCGGGUUGCGGACAGUGUCUGGUGGGUAGUUUGACUGGGGCGGUCUCCUCCCAAAGAGUAACGGAGGAGCACGAAGGUUAGCUAAUCCUGGUCGGACAUCAGGAGGUUAGUGCAAUGGCAUAAGCUAGCUUGACUGCGAGAGUGACGGCUCGAGCAGGUGCGAAAGCAGGUCAUAGUGAUCCGGUGGUUCUGAAUGGAAGGGCCAUCGCUCAACGGAUAAAAGGUACUCCGGGGAUAACAGGCUGAUACCGCCCAAGAGUUCAUAUCGACGGCGGUGUUUGGCACCUCGAUGUCGGCUCAUCACAUCCUGGGGCUGAAGUAGGUCCCAAGGGUAUGGCUGUUCGCCAUUUAAAGUGGUACGCGAGCUGGGUUUAGAACGUCGUGAGACAGUUCGGUCCCUAUCUGCCGUGGGCGCUGGAGAAUUGAGGGGGGCUGCUCCUAGUACGAGAGGACCGGAGUGGACGCAUCACUGGUGUUCGGGUUGUCAUGCCAAUGGCACUGCCCGGUAGCUAAAUGCGGAAAAGAUAAGUGCUGAAAGCAUCUAAGCACGAAACUUGCCCCGAGAUGAGUUCU